UAUACACUCUAAAAACGGCUGGGUUGUUUUUUAACCCAAAAUGCUGGGUUGAGUCUGUUGGGUCAUUUUGUUGGGUUAUUUUAUUACUUUUUAAACACUUUUGGGUAGUUUCGAUUUACCAGGUGUUGAGUUAAACCUGCUGGGUUGUAACGCUGGGUUGUUUCAGGCCAGCGCUGGGUUAUUUAACGCGCCUUGACGAUGUUUAAAUCGCACCGGUAACUGUCAUUUUGGAAGGACAAAGGGGCGAAGCCACUGGUUUCAACUGUUUUAAGUCAGAAAAGCACAUGGAUGCAUUCGUGAGGGGAAAACUCGUCGAGUGGCAGUUACCCAGUCUUAUCGAGACAUUUAACGAUGAAGAAAUUGAUGAGGAAGGUUUCAUGCUACUCGAUGACCGUACAAUCACAAGCCUCAUACCAAAAAUCGGACUUCGUGUCAAGUUCCUAAAGUACCACGAAGAGCUAAUAAAGAAACAUGGGGUUGAAAAUGCCACUCCUUCAGCUGUUCACAUAACUGACACAGAAGAAGCCACUGUUGCAGCAGGAGAUAUUGCAGAAGAGCUGACAAUUACACCAAUGCCAUUCAUUCAAAUAAUACCAAUUUUUAAUAUUAAAGAGAUUCUCAUGGCCUCCCAUGAGGGGAGAUGGAUUUCAGCAGCUUUAGAGAAGGAAAAAAGCAUCACAAUUAAACAGAGACGUGCACUGGUGCGAAUCCUGGUGGCCUUUUUAAUUGAAAAGUUUGGCGAAAUGCCAACUUCUGACACCAAGAAGGCUAUGGCAAUGGCGUUAAUUGAAGAGUUUCCCUGCCUUAAAGACAUCAGAGGCAAUGGCUAUGAGGCAUUUUACACACCAGGCCGGAACCACCGUCCAGCCACAGGCUUCAUUGAGGAGCGCUUACGAAACAUCAGAAAGAGAAUGAGAAAACUUUCCAGACCUCAAAGACAUGAAGAGGACACAUCACAUAGGAUGGUAAUCCCUGAACCUACUAUUCCAACGGAGAGAGCCCAAAGUCUUGUGAACUGGCUGAAAAAUAACCAUGCACCUAUUAACCAAGUGGUAGAAAAUAUGAAGGAGACAGCCUUAUAUCGGGCUAAGUGGAUCCGACAGAAUGGGACAAAGAGCAUCACAGAGGUUCUCCAUGAGUUCCCGCAUCUCUUGAACACACCUGGCAUGAUUUCCCAAGACUUUGAUCAGGUCCAUGGAGAAACUGGACUGAAGCUUUUUGAAUCGUGGGCCAAUUUCUUUGCUGACAGAAUUCUAAGGAUUGCGAUUAAGGAAGAAAAACUGAAUAAGACUUGGGAGAACAUUCCACAAG
ensembl:lncRNA